UGAACGCUGGCGGCAUGCCUUACACAUGCAAGUCGAACGGUAACAGGUCUUCGGAUGCUGACGAGUGGCGAACGGGUGAGUAAUACAUCGGAACGUGCCCAGUAAUGGGGGAUAGCUCGGCGAAAGCCGGAUUAAUACCGCAUACGCCCUGAGGGGGAAAGUGGGGGAUCGCAAGACCUCACGUUAUUGGAGCGGCCGAUGGCUGAUUAGCUAGUUGGUAGGGUAAAGGCCUACCAAGGCGACGAUCAGUAGCUGGUCUGAGAGGACGAUCAGCCACACUGGGACUGAGACACGGCCCAGACUCCUACGGGAGGCAGCAGUGGGGAAUUUUGGACAAUGGGGGAAACCCUGAUCCAGCAAUGCCGCGUGUGCGAAGAAGGCCUUCGGGUUGUAAAGCACUUUUGUCAGGGAAGAAAUCCUUUGGGCUAAUACCCUAGGGGGAUGACGGUACCUGAAGAAUAAGCACCGGCUAACUACGUGCCAGCAGCCGCGGUAAUACGUAGGGUGCAAGCGUUAAUCGGAAUUACUGGGCGUAAAGCGUGCGCAGGCGGUUGUGUAAGACAGGUGUGAAAUCCCCGGGCUUAACCUGGGAGUUGCAUUUGUGACUGCACGACUAGAGUGUGUCAGAGGGGGGUGGAAUUCCACGUGUAGCAGUGAAAUGCGUAGAUAUGUGGAGGAACACCAAUGGCGAAGGCAGCCCCCUGGGAUAACACUGACGCUCAUGCACGAAAGCGUGGGGAGCAAACA
rnacentral:rRNA from 1 species